AUUGAACGCUGGCGGCAGGCCUAACACAUGCAAGUCGAGCGGAUGAAGGGAGCUUGCUCCUGGAUUCAGCGGCGGACGGGUGAGUAAUGCCUAGGAAUCUGCCUGGUAGUGGAGGAUAACGUCCGGAAACGGGCGCUAAUACCGCAUACGUCCUGAGGGAGAAAGUGGGGGAUCUUCGGACCUCACGCUAUCAGAUGAGCCUAGGUCGGAUUAGCUAGUUGGUGGGGUAAAGGCCUACCAAGGUGACGAUCCGUAACUGGUCUGAGAGGAUGAUCAGUCACACUGGAACUGAGACACGGUCCAGACUCCUACGGGAGGCAGCAGUGGGGAAUAUUGGACAAUGGGCGAAAGCCUGAUCCAGCCAUGCCGCGUGUGUGAAGAAGGUCUUCGGAUUGUAAAGCACUUUAAGUUGGGAGGAAGGGCAGUAAGUUAAUACCUUGCUGUUUUGACGUUACCAACAGAAUAAGCACCGGCUAACUUCGUG
rnacentral:rRNA from 1 species